rnacentral:rRNA from 1 species
ACGGAAAGGCCCCUUGCUUGCAAGGGGUACUCGAGUGGCGAACGGGUGAGUAACACGUGGGUGAUCUGCCUUGUACUCUGGGAUAAGCUUGGGAAACUGGGUCUAAUACCGGAUAGUAGCCGCCUUUAGUGUGGUGGUUGGAAAGUUUUUUCGGUGCAAGAUGAGCUCGCGGCCUAUCAGCUUGUUGGUGGGGUAAUGGCCUACCAAGGCGUCGACGGGUAGCCGGCCUGAGAGGGUGUACGGCCACAUUGGGACUGAGAUACGGCCCAGACUCCUACGGGAGGCAGCAGUGGGGAAUAUUGCACAGUGGGCGGAAGCCUGAUGCAGCGACGCCGCGUGGGGGAUGACGGCCUUCGGGUUGUAAACUCCUUUCGACAGGGACGAAGCUUUUGGGACGGUCCCUGGUAAAAAAGCCCCGGCUAAUUUAGUGCCAGCCGCCCGGGUAAUACCUAGGGGGCCAGCCUUUGCCGGAAUUAAUGGGCCUAAAGGGCUUGUAGGGGGUUUGGCCCCUCCUUUGGAAAAUUCCGGGGCUUAACUCCGGGCGGGCCGGCCAAACGGGCAAAAUUUGGGGGCUUGAGGGGAGACUGGAAUUCCUGGGGGAGCCGGGAAAUGCCCAAAUUUCAGGAGGAAAACCCAUGGC